rnacentral:rRNA from 1 species
UACAGAGGGUGCAAGCGUUAAUCGGAAUUACUGGGCGUAAAGCGCGCGUAGGUGGUUAGUUAAGUUGGAUGUGAAAUCCCCGGGCUCAACCUGGGAACUGCAUUCAAAACUGACUGACUAGAGUAUGGUAGAGGGUGGUGGAAUUUCCUGUGUAGCGGUGAAUUGCGUAGAUAUAGGAAGGAACGCCAGUGGCGAAGGCGACCACCUGGACUGAUACUGACACUGAGGUGCGAAAGCGUGGGGAGCAAACAGG